AUCCAAAUUAUUAUUUUGUGUUUUCAGAUGUCCAUUGAUGUAUGAGGCUGUUCAUCAGUGUUCUUCAGAUCCCUGUUGACUUCCAGCAAUUUUAAAUUUGAGUAAUGAUUUGAAAUAGUAAUUUUUUUUAAUGCUAUGAAGCCGGUUGGAGAUACUGGGGGGUGAGGGGGGGAAAUCUGAAUGUAAUCUGAAUAUAAUGGAGGAGCUUGGCUUAAGAAAAAUUACCAUGAAAGAAAAGCAUUAGCAGAACAGAUUUUCAUGUUGGAGUUUCUAGAGUGCAAAUGUUUGAAGGCUGAAGCCAAUAUUUGUGAUAAGUGUGAGUCUCAAUGAACCUGAAAAGGGAUUGGAGAGAUUUCUAGAACUGAAGCUAAAGGAGGCUUUAGGUUAAAAAAAAAAGAGAAUUUUGACGUUGGUGCUUUGGGACUGGAGAAAAUGAAUGUUAAUUAUAAUUAUAUCAUUAAUGCAUUUCUUGAUGACUGGAGUAAAAUCAUUGCUUUGAGCUUAUACUAAAAACUCCUUAAAUAAGACUAUAAACUUAUACCUAUUAUGAUUAUUUGGUUCCCGAAUCUUGAAACACAGAUUGGCACAACUGUAAACAUUUGCCGUUGUGUUUUCAAGUGGCUUCCUGACCAUAACCUCCUCACCUCUAGUACUUAAUCAGAUAAAUUGUGGUCAUGCUAAUAAUGUUCAUAUUCCAAAGUUUAAAAAUAAGCAUCCUAACAUCAGAAUUCUAAGUCAUGAAGAAAACUUAAAGUGUGGCUUUAAAGAGCAUGUGAAUUGAAUGCAGUCUUAGUUAUCAAUCUCAAAAGCUGUUGGAAGUUGGAUAUGGCAAAGUCGGGGAGCGUUACUGUUACACUGUCCCACCUCCUCAAGAAAGAUUUUAAUGCGGUAGAAUGGAUAAGACAUGCCACUAGAAUUGAGGAAAGCUUCUACCCCGCAAUCAGAAGACUAUUAAAUGGUUCUUUAACACGAUAAAAUAGACUCUUGGCCUCAUAAUCUACAGCUUGCGCCUUAUUGUUUACCUGCACUACACUUUCUCUGUAGCUGUUAUACUUUCUUCUGCAUUAUUGUUUUCUCCUUGUUGAACAUCAAUGAACUGUGUGAACAGUAUGUAAGACAAGCUUUUCAUUGUAUCCCAGUAUAUGUAAUGACAAUAAUGAACCAAUUCCAAUACCAACCCUGUCAUUAUUGAAUACACAAUUAGAAAAUGAAGGACAGGUUGUUGUUAUUGUUAAUAUGGAGAAAGAUCUGCAGUUGAUGCUCCAUGAGACAGAGAGAGAUCCCCUCAAAUGUAAUUGUAUGUAAUGAAGUGAAUAAUCAAAUGUUUAUUUAUCCAAUCUGGAAACAGUCACCACCCAUUUUCAGUCAUCUUUCUGCCCCACUAUGAAGAAAACAGUGAAUAUGCAUUUUUAACUGGCUUCUCUGAAGGUCACAUGGACUUGCAGUGAAUUUCAAGAAACAAUUUGUGCCUAUUGAAAGGCACAAGAGAGAGCUUGUAAUGCAACAGGGCAGUCUGGUGGACAUUCAAACCAAUUAAUGUGAAAUUUAAACUUGUUUUACAAUCUGAAUUCAAUUCAGUUUUUAAAUAGGUUGUGAAGCACUACUGAUUUAUAAUCUUAUUUCAUCUUGUUAGGUUUCUGCAAAGAUGUGCAUUCAGUGAGCAGUCUAUUCCAAACAAAGAAAAAUGCGUUGUUGGUGGUUGACAAGGCAGAAAGUGUGAAUGGAAUACAAAGGGUCACUGUCUUUCAUGGAUCUGUGUGGAGAGAAUCAGAUUCGUUAUCCACCAUAUUGUACUUUUCCAUAUUUGCGAAGUAUAUGUAUCUAAACACAGUUUAUUAUUGAUUAUGGUAGGACAUAGAAUAGUCUUAAAUAUUGUUCUGCUGAGCAGCAAAACAGUCUGGCGUUGUCAUUCAUGUUAAUUGUGUUUCUUGAAUCUACAGAAAAUUGACUGAAUUCUGUAUUGCACUUCGGGGAACAAGAUCAAAGAAUGAAAUAAUCACUGUUGGUGGCCAUUCCUGGGAACAGGCCAGGAAUCUGACAGUGCUGAUUCUUUCAUUUCUUGAACUUGAUUCCCAAAGUGGGGAGGUGAAGUGGGAUACUUAAGGUCAAGGAAUGCAAGACCAAAAAACAAUUCAGUAAAUAAACGGGCAUUUUGUAGGCAGGCUAAUGGUUCCUAACUAAUUGAUCAAUUCGCUUUUGAUAACAGAUGUAAAAAAAUCUUGGUUUGCCUCAUGAGGUAGGCAACAGCAAGAUACGCAGCUUUGCAGGUGCAACGUCCCAAAACACUGAAGUCUAAAUUUGGACUUUGUGAUUUGGUCUUGCGCUCCUUGGCCAUAAGUACCUCAAUUCACCUUUUGUUUAUUUUGUUCCUUUCUCUAUCUUCACCCUGGUAAUGAGCACACCAGUGAUUCCUCGUAUCCUACCCUUAAGUAAUCACCAUAUCCAUACGUAGUCCUUCAUUCUAAAUCAAUUACAUAACUGGUUUAAACUAAGCUGAUACAUGCUCUCUGGUCAGCUUCAAGAACAUGGGUUACAGCUAAUCAUUCUAAUGUUACCUGAUGUACUUGGAAACAAAAAUAUGUUGCUUAUGUAGCCCUUGCAUGGUUUUUUUCAUAUUUCUUUUAACUGCAAUUACACUUUGUUCCAUUUGUUAGUUUUUGUAUAUUAUUGGCUUUUUCUUGUACCUUGUAUAGAGCUGUGUGUUGUGAUUUUUUUUAUGCAAGUAGUGUUUUAUUCAGUGAUUUUUAAGUAGUGUUUUAGGGGUACAUACUAAUUCUACAGUAUAGUAUUUUUCCUAGUUCAGAAACUCCCCAGCGUAUGAAUAGUUGAUUACAUACAUCCUGGACAAAUAUUUUGGAAAAUGGAAAGAAUUGCUGGCUGCUGCAGGCAUCUUCUACCUUGGGGGAAUUCAAUUUACUCUGACAUGAGUUAUGUCUGGGUUAUAAACCAUUCAUAGGAAUGGAUCCCUUCCAUAACCUGGCAUUCACAAUAAAACCAGGAAAUACUCUAAAAUUAAUGAAAAGACUACACACAAACAAAGUGACAAAUAACCAGUGUGCAAAAGAAGACAAAUUGUGGAAAUACAAAAGAAAGAAACAAAUAAUGUUUCAGAGCCAGGGAAACUGGAGCACCUGGAGGAAACCCAAGGGCUCACGGGAAGGAAUGUACAAAUUUGCUUACAGAGGAUGCCGAAAAUGAACUCUGAACUUUGAUGACUUGAGCUGUAAUAGCAUCAUUUUAAUUUGAUGUACCACUGUGGCAAUUGUUUGCAGAUGGUUGAAAAAUCUAGAGCUGCUCCUUUGUUAUUAUUUUUAUUAAUGUAUUAAUUAUCAAUCGUAAGUUAUACUUCAGAAUAAUGUUCAUUGCAAUGAGCUCCUUACCACACAGGUGUCGGAAGUUCUUGGGUAUAUUAAAGAUUUUCAUGGCCGUCAGCUGUCACAUGUUAAAAGUGAUUGAGAUGAGUCAUUUUAGAGUUGGGCAAUGGCUAACCCAAUUCAGCAUCCCUUUACUCAUUGGGUAAUGUGUAACUUUCUAAUUUGAAAGAAAACAUACAGAUAGUGGAUUUGAAAAUCAUUAUGGUAAAUCAUUCUUUGACUUGGUAUAAAUUUAAAAACUUGUGCAUACCUUGAAAAAUGGGAAGUAUUUAAUAAUACCUUGAUUUUUGGUUUGUAAUAAACUACACCUUACAUUUGAAGUUUAGUUUCAAUGUGGUGCGUGUGACAAAAAUCACCUGAUCUGAUUGAGUCUGUAGGAUCUAUUGGUUGCAGUUCAUUCUGCAAAUUUGCAUCGUCUAGUUCUGUCAUCUACCUCAACAAAUGUCCAAAAGUUUUUAUUGAUUCUACUCAACUAAAUUAACUAAAUUUAUUUCCUCCAAAGUAUUAGCAUGAUUAAUGCAGGUUUCUAUCAUAACUAAUGAUUGGUUUUAAGUUUCUUAUCUUCAAUGGUCUGAUUUGGUCCAAAAGGAUGAACUAUACUGGUGUUCAGAGAUGACCAAUAUGUUCCUGUACUUCUCCUGACAAGCUUACUUUUUUUUUAAAUCCCCCAUCCAUUUCUGUUCAUAAACCCUCUCCCCUGCCUGACUUUCUUUUGGACAGCACUUAAUCUGCUCAUUCUUGAUUGGCCCGGCCCCUCUCUCACUCAUUGACAUCUGGCUUCCCAAUCCACAGCAUAACUAGUCUUCUGUUUCACUGCAUAUAGCACUUUCAUCCUUGUCAAGGCAUCCCAAAAUAUGGUACACAAAUGCAGUUGCUGUUGCAUAAACUGUACAUAAGAAAUGUACAUUUCUGACUCCCACCAACAGCUUUAGAGCCACAUAGAAUCAUAUGUACGGUUACUUUAGUGGUUGAUUUGUAAAUGGAGAAAACAGCGGCUGCCUUUGAAACCUUGGUGUGUGUGAAAUGACUGGUAAUGCAAGAGACAACUUUGUCAAUUAAAACUGAGAGAACUUGGAGGGAGUUGAUCUUAUGGGAGCUUUUCUUCAAGGAGAAGGGAAAACACAUUUAUUUAAAAAGUCUAUUAGAAAAAGAAUGGGUGUUGAUAGAAUAAAUGCAAAAUGAAAUAUAGUUAUGAGUAACUGAUUUUAUUGUAGCAGCUUGUAUUAAAAGUAUAGUUUUGACAAAAUGAAUAUUGCUGUCUUGGUCUUUUAAUUGUAACAAAAUACUUUGUUGGUUUAAAAUCUGAAAUUGAGUUUAGCUGCCAUUGCUUUUUUACAAUAAUUGCUUUUUCUAUAAUUAGGCUAGCGUGACAGGGCGCAGCUUUUGUAUGUGUUCCUUGAAAACAUAAAUUAUAGGUUGUAUUGCAAUCAUGUUCUGUAUCGAGACUGUUCUUUUACAGUGUAUGUCACACACACACACACUUACACACAGACACAUUUACACACAGACAGACACUUUGUUUAGUUGCAACCCUUUAGCCUUUCACCAGAAGCUUUUGUAAGGGUG